rnacentral:lncRNA from 1 species
GCCCGGAUGCCUUGAGGUAGAUUCUGACUUAAUGCUUUGCACUGUGAUCAAGCAACAGUAUUGUUCCAUGGACUGAUAUGUUUCAGCUCUCUUAUCUCUGUAGAAAAUAAACCUGGAGUUAAUGGUCGUUGGUGUUAAUUAUCUCUGAUCACUUAUACAUAACUACCUACAGAGCUCAAAGAAUGAGGAUUUUCAUCAGUACUUUGUAGAAGAACAUCCAGUGACACAUGCACUAAUUUGGCCUCAAAAUUGCUUAAAAGGGGGUUUUCCAGGAUUGUUUAAUGUUUUCACAGUGCCUUUUAGCUCUAAGCUCUAAAGACUAAGUUUUAAAGGUUAUUUAACAUGUCUGGAAGUUGACAGGUUGCAAGUCACUGAAGACUCACUGUAUGUCUAAGAUUAUUAAAAACAUGCUUUUAGCCAAAUUGUGGCUCCAGUUAGAUAAGGAUAGGGAUUCACAGACAUUCAAAAUAAGCAUACUUUCAAUGAAAAAGUUUCAGGAGAGUUAGUGGAAACUUCUUCCUGAUACACACUGUCCGUUCUAGGUUUUUGCCUCCAGGCUUCUAGAAGUGG